rnacentral:rRNA from 1 species
UACCAGCACCCCGAGUGGUCGGGGCGUUUAUUGGGCCUAAAGCGUCCGUAGCCGGUUCUACAAGCCUUCCGUUAAAUCCACCUGCUUAACAGAUGGGCUGCGGAAGAUACUAUAGAGCUAGGAGGCGGGAGAGGCAAGCGGUACUCGAUGGGUAGGGGUAAAAUCCGUUGAUCCAUUGAAGACCACCAGUGGCGAAGGCGGCUUGCCAGAACGCGCUCGACGGUGAGGGAUGAAAGCUGGGGGAGCAAACCGG